GAUGAACGCUGGCGGCGUGCCUAAUACAUGCAAGUCGAGCGAACAGACGAGGAGCUUGCUCCUCUGACGUUAGCGGCGGACGGGUGAGUAACACGUGGAUAACCUACCUAUAAGCCUGGGAUAACUUCGGGAAACCGGAGCUAAUACCGGAUAAUAUAUUGAACCGCAUGGUUCUAUAGUGAAAGACGGUUUUGCUGUCACUUAUAGAUGGAUCCGCGCCGCAUUAGCUAGUUGGUAAGGUAACGGCUUACCAAGGCAACGAUGCGUAGCCGACCUGAGAGGGUGAUCGGCCACACUGGAACUGAGACACGGUCCAGACUCCUACGGGAGGCAGCAGUAGGGAAUCUUCCGCAAUGGGCGAAAGCCUGACGGAGCAACGCCGCGUGAGUGAUGAAGGUCUUCGGAUCGUAAAACUCUGUUAUUAGGGAAGAACAAAUGUGUAAGUAACUAUGCACGUCUUGACGGUACCUAAUCAGAAAGCCACGGCUAACUACGUG
rnacentral:rRNA from 1 species